GAUGAACGCUGGCGGCGUGCCUAAUACAUGCCAGUCGAGCGAACAGACGAGGAGCUUGCUCCUCUGACGUUAGCGGCGGACGGGUGAGUAACACGUGGAUAACCUACCUAUAAGACUGGGAUAACUUCGGGAAACCGGAGCUAAUACCGGAUAAUAUAUUGAACCGCAUGGUUCAAUAGUGAAAGACGGUUUUGCUGUCACUUAUAGAUGGAUCCGCGCCGCAUUAGCUAGUUGGUAAGGUAACGGCUUACCAAGGCAACGAUGCGUAGCCGACCUGAGAGGGCGAUCGGCCACACUGGAACUGAGACACGGUCCAGACUCCUACGGGAGGCAGCAGUAGGGAAUCUUCCGCAAUGGGCGAAAGCUUGACGGAGCAACGCCGCGUGAGUGAUGAAGGUCUUCGGAUCGUAAAACUCUGUUAUUAGGGAAGAACAAAUGUGUAAGUAACUAUGCACGUCUUGACGGUACCUAAUCAGAAAGCCACGGCUAACUACGUG
rnacentral:rRNA from 1 species